AACAGACUACAAGUCCACAGAGUUUUUAAAUCCACAGUUGACUACAUGACAGCCCAUAAGCUCAUGAGAAAAGCUCAAAUCACCUCGUGUCCUGAACUCUCAGACGCCUCCAUCACUGAGAAAAGGCCAACCAGGCUGAAGAGACCACCUUUACACCUUUUAGAGUCAGAUAGUGAUAUCACAGAUAUUGAAGACAGUAAUAUCAACACCAGGCCACCAA